AAAAAAAGAAAGGUUAAGGAGAAACACAGAGCGAAAAGACAUAAGAAAUCAAAGAAAUUGACUUCUGACUAUUCCAAAAGAGUGCAUACCCCAGAAGAAUCGCUGAAGAGGUACUACAAGGUAUUAAACCUUGUAAAACAGGGCCUGAGUAAGGCAGAGGCCUACAACAGACUAAACGUUGACAGGAACACAAUAGUCACCCAGGCUCCAAUUGCAGAGUUAGCAGCAGCUAAUCCAGAAUCAUUCCGCAAGCUAAGGCAGAUGUUUAAAAAGGGAGAUAGCAUCCUGAAAUUUGCCGAAAGCUGUCUUUGUCUUUGUAAAGAAAAGGCCAAUGAGGAUGUGAUUAAACAAAUGAAAGAGGCAAAUGACCUGCUUGACAUAAAUAAAAAAUGAACGAUAAGCACACAUUAUAGUUGUUAGGGGGUUGUUCUUGUGUUAGGAAUUUGUUUAAAUCAUUUAAUCCUGACAAUGUUAUAAUGUUCAUAUAUAAAUUUUUAUUAUAAAA